rnacentral:rRNA from 1 species
AGAGUUUGAUCAUGGCUCAGGAUGAACGCUGGCGGCGUGCCUAAUACAUGCAAGUCGAACGCUUAGUCUUUAAUUGAUAUGAAGAGCUUGCUCUGAUUUGAUUUUAUCUGACAAAGAGUGGCGAACGGGUGAGUAACACGUGGGUAACCUACCUCUUAGCAGGGGAUAACAUUUGGAAACAAGUGCUAAUACCGCAUAACACUAACAACCGCAUGGUUGUUAGUUGAAAGAUGGCUCUGCUAUCACUAAGAGAUGGACCCGCUGUGCAUUAGCUAGUUGGUAAGGUAAUGGCUUACCAAGGCGAUGAUGCGUAGCCGAGUUGAGAGACUGAUCGGCCACAAUGGGACUGAGACACGGCCCAUACUCCUACGGGAGGCAGCAGUAGGGAAUCUUCCACAAUGGGCGCAAGCCUGAUGGAGCAACGCCGCGUGUGUGAUGAAGGGUUUCGGCUCGUAAAACACUGUUAUAAGAGAAGAACGACAUUGAGAGUAACUGUUCAGUGUGUGACGGUAUCUUAUCAGAAAGGAACGGCUAAAUACGUGCCAGCAGCCGCGGUAAUACGUAUGUUCCAAGCGUUAUCCGGAUUUAUUGGGCGUAAAGCGAGCGCGGACGGUUAUUUAAGUCUGAAGUGAAAGCCCUCAGCUCAACUGAGGAAGGGCUUUGGAAACUGGAUGCCUUGAGUGCAGUAGAGGAAAGUGGAACUCCAUGUGUAGCGGUGAAAUGCGUAGAUAUAUGGAAGAACACCGGUGGCGAAAGCGGCUUUCUGGACUGUAACUGACGUUGAGGCUCGAAAGUGUGGGUAGCAAACAGGAUUAGAUACCCUGGUAGUCC